AUUAAUCAGAACAUGAGUGGGUAAAAAGAAGUGAUCAAGGGCACAACUUGCCUGGGACUCGAGAUUCCAGGUACCAGGAUGAUCUUCAGAUGACUCGUAACCUCGCUCUAGUUGUAGCAAUACAAAUAAACAGUGUAUAUGCAAAAUUAACAUUACACCAAACAUAUAUGCAAAAUACAUAUUAAUAAUCUACCUAUUGAAAUAAAAUUCUAGGAACAGGAAUCACAAUUUUUGGAGUUAUAGAUUUUAAGUUAUGAAUUUCUUAAGAUUUUAUGUAUUUUGUACAAGAUUAAAUAGAGUACAAAUUUUAAUGUGUAUUUCAUGUGAAAUAGUGGUACUAGAUGAUAAACCAUAAUAUUACAAAAUUAUAGGAACUGGAACGAGUCAAAAAGGAGUUAAAAUGUAUUUUCUAGGAAUUAAAGAAGUUUCUGGGAUUAAUUUUGCACUAUUAAUCAUUUUCUAAAUGAAUUUCCAUAGUUUAUUCCCUGACUGGACUGCGCACCAAAAACUAGAAAGUGCAGGGGCUAAUCUAUAAAUCUUCAGCAGACCCAGACCUACCCCGCGGUGGACGGCGGGUUGUUUUUGAAAUAAGUCAGGGUCUCUUUAGCAAGAUUACCAGGCCGAAGGGGUAUCUCCCGAUCUUAGUCAUUGGAUUACACCGACGGUCAGGAUCAGAUCCCGCCUAUUAUGAACCAGCGAGCGUGCAAAACCGUCCGAUCACAAUCCAGCGUCCCAAAUCCGCAGUGGCGAAAGGGGUAUGCGCGAUCUAAUCAUUGCCGUCGACGAUUGAUCUAACGACACACAGAGCUUGCCCCCAAACCGGUACCCGCCUUCAAUCCCAGCCGUUGAAGUUGGGAUCAACGGCCAGCGCACCACUUUUACCCUCCCUUCCAAGACCGGCGGCCGUGUACAGGGCCACGAGCGCGGCGGCGCCAUGGAUGAGGCCACACAUCCAAUGACCCCGAUGCGCUAAACUCCGUUCCAAAGGAUGCUAAACAUAGCGGCGAACCAGGCGAGCAUGAUAGAGUGGACUCACCGAUGGAUUGCGUAGUGCUUUUCUCUGUCUUCGUUGCACGGCGGAGAUCCGGCGGAGCGAUACGACGGCGAGGAAUUGGAGCAAAACCGGCAGUUGAUCACGAGUAGCGCGGCCCCACACGUCCUUCCCAGAACUUGAGGAAAGUCCCCGAGCACUUCACGGGGCAGACGACUGCGCGGCAGGGGAUUUCCCCCCCACGGCGGAGCACAACCCCUCUCCUCUCGGUUCCCUCCCAUGACGCCGGUGGCAGUGGCCAAGUAGUUCUCGUGAUUGAGGGCUAAAGGUCAGCGAUCUGCGCAGGGAUUUAUUCCCCCUCGGGCGGAAGCCGGUUAUCCAGCUCCGAGCAGGUCAGGCGCCCGAGGAUUCCGUGCGCGCGCAGGAGAAAUCGCUAUUUCUGUUGAGGAAGAUGGAG
rnacentral:lncRNA from 1 species